rnacentral:rRNA from 1 species
GAUGAACGCUGGCGGCGUGCCUAAUACAUGCAAGUCGAGCGAACGUACGAGAAGCUUGCUUCUCUGAUGUUAGCGGCGGACGGGUGAGUAACACGUGGAUAACCUACCUAUAAGACUGGGAUAACUUCGGGAAACCGGAGCUAAUACCGGAUAAUAUUUUGAACCGCAUGGUUCAAAAGUGAAAGACGGUCUUGCUGUCACUUAUAGAUGGAUCCGCGCUGCAUUAGCUAGUUGGUAAGGUAACGGCUUACCAAGGCAACGAUGCAUAGCCGACCUGAGAGGGUGAUCGGCCACACUGGAACUGAGACACGGUCCAGACUCCUACGGGAGGCAGCAGUAGGGAAUCUUCCGCAAUGGGCGAAAGCCUGACGGAGCAACGCCGCGUGAGUGAUGAAGGUCUUCGGAUCGUAAAACUCUGUUAUUAGGGAAGAACAUAUGUGUAAGUAACUGUGCACAUCUUGACGGUACCUAAUCAGAAAGCCACGGCUAACUACGUG